UCUCACUCAUAGUUGUACAAAUUACAGGGCUUUUUUUUAAUUGUCAUAAAACAUAUACAUUAUUCAUCUAUUCAGUUUCAUCUGAAGAGAAUCCAACAAAGAAGAAAUUUUAUUUUCCAAUAAAAUAUUAAAGCUGCUUUACCCCACAAGAGACAGAGCAGAAAUUCCAUCCAUGAUCUAUAAAUCUAUGCGAAAACAAUACACAGUUCUGGCCAAAAGAAGUUAAAACAAAUGUGAAAAAUAAGCGACAUCCAGAAACUUCAGCAGCUCCCUUCUGUCCUAUGCCUCAAGGUACCAGAGAGGGAAAAAGACCCCCAGGAGAGGCUGUGAGGAAACCUGAACUGCAAACCCACCACGAUGUCUUCCUGGGAAAGGCAAGUUGGUAAAGAAAGAUGUGAACUCUAUUUCAGGGUAGUAUGUUUUUUUCAUUUGCUUCCAAGACUUUGAUGGAAUGACUUGAGAGGAAAAGUUCACAAUUACUAGAAAGAACCUAAAAGGACAUGAGAGAUGAAACCGUUGCAGUAUUUUUGAAAUAAAUGUUUUCCUGCAAGAGCAGAGUCAUGGGCGGGGUGUCUGUGUAAUAUCUACUCAACACAGCCGAAGGGUAAGAGGAAAUCUUGGUAAGCCGACUUCCAAGUCUUAAUGGGGAACCAUACGGAACCAACUGCACGCCAAAUCCCACGCUCACCGAAGCUUCAGGGAUUUUCUUGUGGGUCUGGGGGUUUAAUCUGACAGCUCCUAGAGCCUUCAGGACUUCCCGGGCACAGAUAAUGGGCCGCGACUGCACCCCCGCGUCCCUCCUUGGGGCGCAGGCUUUCCACAGCUACAGUUCUCCACGUCAGCAGCCACGUACACAAGCGCCGGCAGCUGCCAACAGGGCGUGCCCGCUUCCAACCCUGCACUCUCCCAAGCAGGACAUCCCUGCACCGCCCGGCGCGUUCGCGAAAACUCCGCGGGGCCUCGAGGCGUCCCGGGAUUAGCCCUGACGCUGUAGGGCUCUCUAGGUUUUCCACGACGCAGGGGAGCGUAACUGGAGCGCACCCGACAGCCUCUCAGCUUGCCCAGGCUCGACUGGAUGGGGCUUUGCUGGACCCCCGACCCGACCCCCACACACCCGGGCGGCGGGGCCCAGCCAGCUGCCAUGUCAUGAAGACAUUCAGUCAGGGUUGUGCAGACACCUUCUUGGAGAGGAAGCAACCAGCCAGCACCAACUUACCAACAUGUGAAUGACCUUGGAAGAUCUUCCAGCCCCAGUCAUGCCAUCAGAUGACUAGAGCCCUCUCACAGCUGACUGCAACCUCAUUAAAGACUUAAAGCCAGAACACCCAACAGAGCUGCUCUUGAAUUCCUGAUUCAUAGACACUUCGAGAGAUAAUAAAUUAUUGUUGCUUUCAGACACUA
rnacentral:lncRNA from 10 species